GUUGUCGUUGUUAUUCUUGUUGUUGUUAUUGUCGUUGUUGUCCUUGUCCUCGUUAUUAUCGUUGUUGUCAUCGUUAUCUUUGUUCUUGUCAUUGUCGUUGUUGUCAUUGUUGUCUUUGUCAUCAUCGUUGUUGUUGUCGUUUUUGUUGUUGUCGUCGUCAUCGUCAUCGCCGUCAUCGUUGUCUUCGAUGUUGUUGUUGUCGUUGCUGUUAUUGUUGUUGUUUUUUCGUUGUUG
rnacentral:lncRNA from 1 species